AACGAACGCUGGCGGCAGGCUUAACACAUGCAAGUCGAGCGCCCCGCAAGGGGAGCGGCAGACGGGUGAGUAACGCGUGGGAACCUACCUGAAGGUACGGAACAACUCCGGGAAACUGGAGCUAAUACCGUAUGUGCCCGAAAGGGGAAAGAUUCAUCGCCUUCAGAUGGGCCCGCGUCAGAUUAGCUAGUUGGUGAGGUAACGGCUCACCAAGGCGACGAUCUGUAGCUGGUCUGAGAGGAUGAUCAGCCACACUGGGACUGAGACACGGCCCAGACUCCUACGGGAGGCAGCAGUGGGGAAUAUUGGACAAUGGGCGCAAGCCUGAUCCAGCCAUGCCGCGUGAGUGAUGACGGCCUUAGGGUUGUAAAGCUCUUUCGACGGGGACGAUAAUGACGGUACCCGUAGAAGAAGCCCCGGCUAACUUCGUGCCAGCCGCCGCCGUAACAC
rnacentral:rRNA from 1 species